GGGUUGGAUUUGUACUGAUUGAUGGCUGAGAGGCACUGAAACAUCUGAUCGGAUGGCCAAAAACACUUCAUCCCAUAUUCAGCGGUGGUGGCCCACAUCUUGUGUGCGAUUUGACAGCUCCAAAUAAUCUAGGGGCGAGAUCCAACAAUCGGGGUUGAUGCUGGCUGGGAGAACUAAACAGAAGGGGUCCAGGCAUACAAGAACAAUCAUCUAAGAGAGGAGAAGGCCCAAGGGAAGGCAGCAUGCAAGUUUUGGAUUACAGGAAGGCUUCUAAGAAAAAAAUGCUUAGAAGAGAGCUUUGUUCCUACAUUAUCUCCACACCUACACCAUCUCAAAGAUCAGAUCCA
rnacentral:lncRNA from 1 species